rnacentral:lncRNA from 10 species
AGAAUAUUUAAGAGUCAAUUUGUUUUUAAAGAGAGUCAUUAGUGAAAUGUUAAACUGAAGAACAAGCCUUAAUAGGUUAAGAAUAAAUUUGAGGUGAGACAGAGUAUAGCUUACUGUAUCUGAUUAGCGCCAUAAUUUGUUAAAAUUAGGGUGGAAGAAAUACCUCAAAGAGAGAAAAACAGAAAAUAUUUACGUGAAUAUGCUACGCAAUAUAUCAAACCUCAUAUUGAACUUAAUGCUCUCUAUAUUUUGAUCACUCUUUCCAGAGUUCUCUAUUCUUAAAAUUCUUUCCUUCUGGCCUACCACUGAUUAUAUGCAAAAUAUUCUAGUCCUAGUCGAAACUACUGGCUCAACUACACUGAGGAAAAUAAUAUUUCCUUCUAGCAUAGUGUCCAGAAUGAAUCUAAGUAGAAGAAGGGAAGACGAGAAGGACACAAGAAGGAAGACAAGGAAAAAUGUCGACCUCAAAGAACUAGAGGAACAACACUGGAGUUAUACGAAACACCCAGAAUUAGAAUCAGAGCAAUUUGAUUGGAUUUACUACAGCUGAUUCUAGAUACAAGAACUUUACCGAGCCAUUUACAAUUUUUGUGCUUCAAUUUCAUCAUUUUAAAACAGAAAGAAAGCAUUUACCUUAUACGCUUGUUGCUUAGAUUAUAAAGGAAUUAUCUAUAUAAAAAGUACAAUAAAGAAGAAUAUAAAUGUAAGAAUGUAGAGGGUCACAAACAUUGUUUGAAAUAUCCAUGCUUUUCAUUUUGGAGUGAAAAGAGGAAAAAUACUAACUGUAAAAUUAAAUUCAUUACUAUAUCAAAGUCAAGCCUGCCUAUCAAGUCAUUUGACAGUUAAAAAUGUUUUGUUUAUCCCAUAAACUUUAUGAAAAAACUAGUUCAUUGCCAAAGGGAUGUUACUUACAGCAAAAUCUCUAGAAGCUCUGAAAUAGAAUUUGAGUUUUAUUUGCAUUUUAUUUUUACAUUCUUACUACUCUACUAACUACAUUCUGCCUAAGUAAAUAUGCUCAAAGCUUUAAAAGUAGGCUGAAUGAAUCACUGGUGGAAAAAUAAUGACCAGGAGCCAACAACAAGCUGAAAAAACAAGAAUCCAUAAUCUCCAUAUGAGAGGAAACUGUGUGCUUCUGGGAGCCUUCUGCAUUCCGUGGUUUGGGUCCCUUUCCUCCAUCUUCAAAACCAGUCUAACAGCAUUUUCAUAUCUCUAUGAUACUAAUUUCCUCUUUUUUGAGGCAUAAACAUAUUUUCAUUGAAAAUCGUGAAGAAUUGAGAAGGAAAGGAGUCUGAAAUUUUAAAUGGUGAGAGUUGUUUUAUUAUCAUUAUUAUUAUACUUUAGGUUCUGGGAUAGAUGUGCAGAACAUGCAGGUUACAUAGGUGUAUAAGUGCCAUGGUGGUUUGCUGAACCCAUCAACCCAUCAUCUACAUUAGAUAUUUCUCCUAAUGCUAUCCCUCCCCUUGCCCCCCACGGCCUGACAGGUCCCCAUGUAUGAUGUUCCCCUCCCUGUGUCCAUGUGUUCUCAUUGUUCACCUCCUCUUUCUGUUAAAAGAACUCCUGUGGUUACAUUAGGUUCACCUGGAUAAUCCAUGAUAUUCUUCUUAUCUCAAGGUUCUUAAUUUAAUGACAUCACAUUUAGCCAUUUUCCAUAACACAUUCACAGGUUUGGGGAAUCUGGACAUGGAAUCUUUGUUGCAAGGGGCAAUUAUUCUGCCUCCCAUACCAUCCAAUUUCCAACUGAUGCUAAAAAUAACCUUGCCUUUGAUUUUCAUAGUGAUGGUCUCCAGGUGUCCAUUUGGCUCUACCUUAGUAGAAGACUUGCACAGAAGAUAGCCUUAAGCAGAUUGAGGUCAAAUCACAGCAUGGACAGGCUUGUGCAAGAAGUUUAGGGUAAUGAAGAUGUUUCCUGCCAGAUCUCAAAGCUACAGCUUUGAACAAUGAUAAGUUUCAAAGUGGGAUCACUUGAAAAAGGCAGCAGGAGAGGCUAAGGCUUGGUUUAGGAAACAAAGUUCUGAGGCAAAUAGAUAAUUUAAAGGAUAGCCAGGCAGCUUUAUCCUG